GUAGCAGAAGUUAAAGAUAAGCAAUAUAGUAAGAGAUGGUACUCGUGGAUAAUUAGUCUAGAGAUUCUCUGAGGAAGCCUUACAGACGCUGGUGGAGGUGCUGGACGGACCAUGAUGCGUGAGAGACAUCAGGAGUACGGAGAAAAGGCGUCAUUUGAAAAUAUUUGGAGGCCAGGAGAUGCUGAGCUGCUCAUCGCCGUCCGUUGAGUGACACAUCGCAGUUCCAGUCCCUCAGAGGGAGAAGAAUGUUCAGGGAUGGUGACAUCACUCGUAUUCCCCCAGUUCAGAAACUCCUGGAGGUCAGUGAGAGGAAGGACGAAAGCAUGAAUCCCCAGGUCGGUCUGCUGGAAAGAGACACACUGGUCGUCGUGUGCAGAAAGCAGGAUAGACGGCGAACCUGGCAACCCGCUGCGUGCUCCGAUAGGCAGGACCACUCUCCUCCUCCUCCUCCUCCUCCUCCCGCUCCGGGCCUUUUCCAUCCUCCACGUCUCCACACGUCGCCGCAGACGAUCGAACCGUCCGACCGGUUUCACCGCGGGACAGACUCCGGCCACUAGGUGGCGCCGAAACCACAGGAAGAUAGAAGUCACGUGUGUGUGAAGCCUGUGUUCUGUGUCCUGACCAGCAGAGGGCGACUCUGUGAGAACGUCAGUCGACUUCUCACUUGAUUCAUAACCUCAGUAAAACAUUUUCCUGAGGAGUUUAUGGUUCAAUCUCUAGUUUCAAGUCUUCUUCAAUAUAUGAUGAUCAUUUUUUUCCAAAAAAUGAUUUGAAUUCUACCUCAGCUUAAAAAAAAAUGUUUAAAGAAAUAUUUGGGGAAGUCUUGUUUUAGCAGUGCGUCGUCUAAUGUGUGACGGGAACUAUUAAAGUCACAUGGUCUCACGUCAA